rnacentral:rRNA from 1 species
ACAGAGGGGGCAAGCGUUGUUCGGAAUUACUGGGCGUAAAGGGCGCGUAGGCGGCCCGCUAAGUCGAACGUGAAAUCCCCGGGCUCAACCCGGGAACUGCGUCCGAUACUGGCAGGCUUGAAUACGGUAGAGGCAUGUGGUAUUCCAGGUGUAGCGGUGGAAUGCGUAGAUAUCUGGAGGAACACCGGUGGCGAAGGCGGCAUCCUGGACCGGUAUUGACGCUGAGGCGCGAAAGCCAGGGGAGCAAACGGGA